UCACACAUUUUUCUCUUUUAAAAUUUUGGUAUUUGGUUUUAAAUAAAAAAAUUAUUGUAUUUCAAAAAUGUCUCACCGUAAAUCUAUACUCAAAUCUGCAUCUGAAACUCAAACUGAAACUGAGGGUCCUAAAAAACGCGUUCAAUUUGAUGUUGAAUGUUACUGCUCCGAUUUGAAUGACGAUGACAUUUGUGAUAAGAACUUAGCUUGUGCCUCUGCUCAGUCCUUUUGCAAUUUGAAGUGUUCGAAGCCUAUUAAUGAGGAGUUCUACCGGAAAAGGCAGGAGACACAAAAGGAUAUGUAUACCCAUGCCAAGCAAGCCUUAGGAAAGCUAAAGCAUCAAAGUGAACAAUCAGUCUAAACUUUAUGCAGUAAGAAAAUUUCGGCCUGGAUUUUAUUUUUCCACCUCAGAUCAACUUAAACUUUACAAGACCGAAACCUUAUUGCACUACAUUAUUGCAAACCUUGUGAAAAAACAUAUUUUCCAACUCAAGCUGACUGAUCUAUUAACUAUUAAGGUUUCCAAAUCCAAAUAUCAACCCAAGUACAAAUGUAAAUCCAAAAAUGUUUACCAAAAUUAAUCGGCAUACGUUUAGGGACGUCAGUGGCACACAAACUCAGAAAGUACUUAAAUUAGACACAGUCAAUGGAGCGCUCAAUAUAUUAAUGUAAUUAUGCAUUCAGUCCAUGCUUAAUUAUGCUGGCUCUCAGAUGAAAAGUAAAAAUUUAUUGUAAAUAUCUUAACAAAAUUAAA